UAGUGAGUUUGAUCCUGGCUCAGAUUGAACGCUGGCGGCAUGCUUUACACAUGCAAGUCGAACGGCAGCGCGGGGCAACCUGGCGGCGAGUGGCGAACGGGUGAGUAAUAUAUCGGAACGUACCCAAGAGUGGGGGAUAACGUAGCGAAAGUUACGCUAAUACCGCAUACGAUCUAAGGAUGAAAGUGGGGGAUUCGCAAGAACCUCAUGCUCCUGGAGCGGCCGAUAUCUGAUUAGCUAGUUGGUGAGGUAAAGGCUCACCAAGGCCACGAUCAGUAGCUGGUCUGAGAGGACGACCAGCCACACUGGGGACUGAGACAC
rnacentral:rRNA from 1 species